UGGAAUGAUAAUUUCUCAGACUAGAGUCUCUGACGCUGGUCCUGAUGUCAAAAAUUAAGUUCUGACUC
ensembl:snoRNA